GCCGGUAGGCUCUGCCAGAGCAGACGAAUGCACCAGCAAGUGUGAUGGGGUGAGACAGGCCUCCACAGUUGUGGGGGGCCUGAGAUUGAGUUGAAGACCCGACCCACAGAAGCAACAGGCACGCACAGAAACAAAAAUGCAUUCCCAAACUCAUGCAAACACACACAAAUUUUUACCCUCUAACUGGUGCCUAUUGAGACAGUUGUGCUUAGUUCACAGGACAUAAAUCCAGAAGCAGACAAAUCAUAGGGAUAGGUUAAUGGUACAUUAUCAAAUAAUGGGCAGUUUAAAAAAACUAAUGGAUUAAGUAGACAGGCCAUUCUUUAUAAUGAAUAAAGAGCUCUCUGGAUGUCAGAAGGGGGGGUUUCCACACUUUAACAACAAUUCCAGGGUGUCCAAUGGCUUGUACCUGUGUAAAUAAUUGAAUAACCUUGACUGAAUCAAUCCAUUACAGCUUUUUUUUUUUCCUUUCUUUCUAAAUUGUGCCUCACAACGCAUCAGUGAAAUUCUUAGUGACCAAAGGUCAGUUAAUUGCAAAUACAUUCUCCGGCUUGUUGUUCUUCCUCCUUCAGCCCAUGAAAAACAUUUGGCUGUGCUGAGAGAGAAAAAAGCAGAUCGGCAUUUUUGCUGUGAGACUGCUUGUGUGGCAGGAAGCGUGUAAAUGGUGCUUCACAUUCGUCGCAGCAGCAGUGAGCGUGAGCAGCUGACGGGAAUGAGAAUGAACAUCACUGUUUGCGGACAUGAAAUGAACGCACUCUCCAGCAGCUCAGUUAUGUUAAGUCUGUUUUUCUGUAGCCGAACUUAAACAUGGAGCUCUGUUUGCCUGACAGCAUCAAGGCCAGUGGGGAGUGGGCCAGCAGGGAGGAGGUAAAUGAGCCCAGCAUUCAAAAGAAGAGGGUGGAGUCGUUUAGGAUGUAAUGAGCUUCAACCCAGCCUCCUGUCUCUGUGUUUUCAUACAGACCUUAUUUUGUUAACGUCACACCCUCAUAUGAGCUGACAUUGAAUAUUUCCUUCCCUCCUCCACCGCUCCAGCUGGAUCUGUCUGUAGCUUAAUUCAUCUCUCAUGUUUCAGGUUUAUUUUGCUUGGGUUAACUGCUGUUUACCCUCCUCUCGUGACGACUUGGAAGUACAUGUUUGUUCUCUACAGGGUGCUUUUGGACUAUAAUUAGAGUAGCAGGUUUGAGGUAAACAAGUCUGAAUUUAGGUUAUAUAUUCCCAGUGUUAUAGGUUAAGGUUAGUGGUGCUCCUUUACAACACAGAUGCUCUGAAAUUCUCUGAAUUUGGAUCCUACUUAACAGUGUCUGUUACGUUUUUACUCCUCAAACAAUAUCUUUUUCUAAAGUGGGUUAAAUGUGAAACACUCCCCAGUUGGAGUCACCUACAGCAGUUUCAUCCCACAUGCACAUGUUAAGUCAUCUACCUGCUGUCCCUUAGACUUGGGGAUAAUUAUUGCCUCGGAGUUGUAAACGGUCUCAGCUUCCCUCCUGUCUGCUCUAACAAAGAGCAAGAACUCAGUUUUAUCUUUAUUCUUUAAAAUGUACAAUGUUUGCACAGUUUGAGAAUAAAUGGAAACUUUAAUGUUUUCAUUUGUGUUGCAAGGGCAGAUAAACAUGCAGAAAUUCUCCAAGCUGUUUUGACAAAAACGGUGCAGAGGUAGAAGUGAAUUUCUUGGCUGUAAACACAAGAUGGAAACAGUCUCACUAAAUGUGCAUGAAAGAGUUUCUUUUAAUGUCACAGCUUGCAUACACUCACCUGUGUAAUUGUUCAUGACGUGGUAAAUAGACUGGUUCCUAUAUCUUGCUUUUCUACUCUACCUGAGCACUCAAACCACUCGCUUUGUAUGAAUGGGGCAUGUUGUAUAAACACUACUUUUGUGUGUUCUAACAUUUACAUUUCAAUGGAUGCAUCAGGGUAAGCAUCUUAAGGACAAGAUUUGACAUGUAGACUGGAGCAGCUUGGGAUCGAACCACCAACUUUCCGAUUAGAUGACCUGCUCUGCUUUCUAAGCUACAGCAACUCCUUUAGAUUCAACCGAAUGGCACAGAUUCAAAAAGGUGCUGGAACUGUUCCUCAGACAUUUUGUUCCAUGUUGAUAUGAUGGCAUCUGCGCCACUGCAGAUUCAUCCGGUGCACAUCAUGAUGUGACCCUGUUCCACCACAUCCCAAAGGUGCGCUGUUGCACUGAGAUCAGGUAAUUAGAGGUCUUAAGGUUUGAUAUGAUCUGAGCUUUAUGACAGAGCUUUAUCCUGCUGGAGUCUGUAACCACAAUGUACUCAUCUUCUGGUGGCUAAGGAAUGGAUGUGGUCAGCAGCAAUAAUCAGGAAAUCUUUUUCAUCAAUGGAAAAAGUUGGAAAAAAAAAUGUCUGAGGAGGGCUUAAGGGUUAAAUGACCUUUCUUCCCCUACUGAUGAUCAGCUUAAAGUUCAGUGGCUUAAAUGAGACGAUGGAGACCUCCCAGGAUGGGAAAGAAAGAAGCUUCAAAUUCAGGUCCUGCAUUGACGCCGAUCACACCAGGACAUUUGAUCUGAAGUCGCAGCCACAACCUCUGACUUCCUCACAGCGCUUCUUUUUCACACACGAAGGGAAAUGUCAAAUGUUUGCAUUUUCAGAGGGAGCUGGGUGUUAUUUUUCUUGGCAGGCUUGAGCUCAGCAGCUGGAGACUUGCAGUCAGGUCAGAGAGGCUGACAAGGUUGCUACACCACCCCCUGAGCUUUUUUUUUUCCUUCUUCUCCUUCUUAAAUGGGGUGGCAAAGGAGAAAAUGGGAGCCUAUCAGGAGAAUCUUUGGUUUUGUAAAUUCACAAGUAUCAAUUAUAAAUUGAGAGGUGGGUCCACAACUGUAAGAAUAUGGCUAAUACACCGAAGCACACAAUUCAGUGUCAUCUCUGCUUACCUUUAUUCUAAACACAGCUCAUGCUUCUGCUUUCAGCUACAUUAGUGAUCAGUGGGGGUUAGUUUAGUUGAUUGCUUUUUAUUUUUACCAGAAAAGGCCCAUUGAGAUCAGUCUUUUUUUUUUUUUUCAUAAAAACAAAAGACCCAGCAAAAGUUGCAAUCUGUCUUCUCUUUUGUUUAGAACAUUCUUUAACUCAGUAAAAUUUUUCCAAAUUUUAUAAACUCUGUUUAACGAAUUCAGAGGUCCAGAUGCCCUUACAUUCAUUAAACAGUGCAACCAUGGGUACUAAAUUAUGGGUAUGGACAAGUGCCAUGCAUGUUUUGUUUCUGUACAUGUUAAAAUAAAUGGCCUGCUUACAUUUUUUUUAAUUUAAAAUGGUAUAAGCUGAAAGUAUUCCUUCUCUUUGUAAUUUCACUGUCUGAAAUAAAAUGUGCGUUGACUCAUACUCUCCUGGAAGAAAUAAACGUGGUGUCCGAUUAGUAUUAAUGUGAUUAUAGGACUGAUUCUGCCAACAGUUAAACACUUUUCUGUUGUUAACCUGUCUUGGGGUGCACUACAAAAGUAAAAGCAACAUGCUGUAUUCUGUAUGUAUUUCAGACUGUAUAGUUGGUCAAGCAGUUGAUAAUCUAACCAUUCGAGGCCCUCUGUACAAACACACUCGUAAGUACAGUGUUUGGACAACCCAUCUGUCUCUUCUUCAUUGGUGGAGUCCUUUCCAAGUAAACUCUUUGACUCAGUUGCUAGGAAACUUCUACUCUGUCUCUGCCCUCCUGACUGCGAGCAGCCGGCUCGCUCCUCCUCGUGAUGUAAGGACGCUGUAA
ensembl:lncRNA